AUUCAGCAGAAUUUCUUCCACACUACCACAUGUACUCAGUGAAAAAUGAAAGUGAAAGAUUGCAAUGCCUACACAUUAAUGAACAGAUCGACAUGUGGCCAUUAUCAUCUUACAUGAAAAAUGGAUACCAGAUAGUCCCAUUGAAGCACAGUGUAAUGUCAGAGUAGAUGCUUAGAUGUCAGUUGGCCAAAGGCCAAAUUCUUUUUUGUGUUUAUGUACUGUAUCUGACAGAUAUGGCUGAGUCACAGAGGAUACGCAGUUUUUCCAGAUCUUCCUGUAGCAGUUUUCAAUUCAGUAGUAGAUACUUUGAAGGCACUCGGUGCGGGGACCACAGAUGAUCUGCAGUACAUUACAGAAGCAGACUUGCUGCCGGUGUUGAAGCCAAUACAAGCCAGAAGACUUGUUGCUGCCUGGGCCCAGAACAACUCAGCCACUCCAACCUCAGUGUGUCCUUCUCCGGUGUUCGUCUGUUCCUCUCCAGCUUCUCCCUCACCAGCAUCAUCCACAGCCACCUCGUCUCAUUUCUUUCUUGUUAUAGUAUUUAACAAUACAAUUGUUUAUUUCAGCCCUCAAUUGUUAUUUGUGUAUUAAUAUAUGUAUUUUUCAUGAAGGUGUUUCUUCUCAAUAAAUCCUGAGAGAGGCACCAAAGUCGAGUGGAAGAAAAACAAGAAAGAAGAAGAAGACAAGAAGAAGAAGACAUACUUUUAUUAAUCCCUUACAGGGAAAUUGCUUUUCUCUACUCUGUUGUGUUGACACACAUUACACACACAGAGGAUAUACAUGCACAAACACAGAGGAAAUACAUGCACACACAACCACAUGCAGAGGAGAGGUGGCAGAGCAGAGAGGCAGCCACGUACCUGGCGCCAAGGGAGCAGAUAGAGUUUAGGUGCCUUGCUCAAGGGCACCUCGGCAGUGGCCUAGGAGGAGAACUGGCACCUCUCCAGCUACCAGCUCACUCCAUAUUUUUUUUGGUCUGAUCGGGACGUGAACGUGACGUGAAGACCAAGUCCCUACUGACUGAGUCACUGCCGCCCAAAAAAAAAGUACUCCCAGUCAAUCCCAGAGUCCUCACUCUGAUUGCAGACCUUGCAGACUAUGAGUGGACAUAGACAUACCCUACUAACCCUAACCCUUUAGAGUUGAGUGUUUUGGAACAAUGUGUUAAAGUGUACUGUACUGCAGAUAUUUGUUAAAAUUGUAUCAAAUAGUGAAUUGAAAGUUCUGAGCACCAAUGUAUUUUUCCUUUUUUGAUCAUUAAAAUAUUAAAUACAA